UACCCUGGUAGUCCACGCUGUAAACGGUGGGUACUAGGUGUGGGGUCCAUUCCACGGGUUCCGUGCCGUAGCUAACGCUUUAAGUACCCCGCCUGGGGAGUACGGCCGCAAGGCUAAAACUCAAAGGAAUUGACGGGGCCCCGCACAAGCGGCGGAGCAUGCGGAUUAAUUCGAUGCAACGCGUAGAACCUUACCUGGGUUUGACAUGGAUCGGGAGUGCUCAGAGAUGGGUGUGCCUCUUUUGGGGUCGGUUCACAGGUGGUGCAUGGCUGUCGUCAGCUCGUGUCGUGAGAUGUUGGGUUAAGUCCCGCAACGAGCGCAACCCUUGUUCACUGUUGCCAGCACGUUAUGGUGGGGACUCAGUGGAGACCGCCGGGGUCAACUCGGAGGAAGGUGGGGAUGACGUCAAGUCAUCAUGCCCCUUAUGUCCAGGGCUUCACGCAUGCUACAAUGGCUGGUACAGAGAGUGGCGAGCCUGUGAGGGUGAGCGAAUCUCGGAAAGCCGGUCUCAGUUCGGAUUGGGGUCUGCAACUCGACCUCAUGAAGUCGGAGUCGCUAGUAAUCGCAGAUCAGCAACGCUGCGGUGAAUACGUUCCCGGGGCUUGUACACACCGCCCGUCAAGUCAUGAAAGUUGGUAACACCCGAAGCCGGUGGCCUAACCGUUGUGGGGGAGCCGUCGAAGGUGGGACUGGUGAUUAGGACUAAGUCGUAACAAGGUA
rnacentral:rRNA from 1 species